rnacentral:lncRNA from 1 species
GGUAGACCAGAGGGUAUUGCUACUAAGGAAUUAUGGUCAGCUGCCAGCACAAACUGUGUAUAGUCAGCUACAUUCCAGCGAACUACAUGGCUAUUAUUUCAGAGGACUUAACUUAGAAGAUGGCCUUAAAGUGCCGUGUCUUGAAGAUGGACAUAUCCUUUACAAUGGAAUUUAUUACACACCUGCAUGGGCUGACUUUGGAAAAGAUGGCUAUGACCUUGUGAAGGCAACAGGAUUAAAGAUUUUUACCAACUCUCACCUCCGGAAACCAGUAUUGUGCAAGGAUUCUAACCAUCUUGAAUCUACUGAUUACAUACCCUUAGGAUCCUCAAAACAAUCGGAUUUUUCAAUGGCAAAAUGUGACUUCUUUCCGAAAUAUUACCCAACUCUCGUUCCAACUGAUUUCAGAACCAAUGUUUGGAGAUUACUGGAUUGUUGUGAAAAGAAACUCAAGGAAGACAGUGACACACCAAUUUGCUGU